rnacentral:rRNA from 1 species
GACGAACGCUGGCGGCGUGCUUAACACAUGCAAGUCGAGCGGUAAGGCCCGUUUCGGGGUACACGAGCGGCGAACGGGUGAGUAACACGUGGGUGACCUGCCCUCAGCUCUGGGAUAAGCCUGGGAAACCGGGUCUAAUACUGGAUAUGACUCCAUGACGCAUGUUGGUGGGGUGGAAAGCCUUGUGCGGCUGAGGAUGGGCCCGCGGCCUAUCAGCUUGUUGGGUGGGGUGANGGCCUACCAAGGCGACGACGGGUAGCCGGCCUGAGAGGGCGACCGGCCACACUAGGACUGAGACACGGCCCAGACUCCGUACGGGAGGCAGCAGGUGGGGAAUCUUGCGCAAUGGGCGAAAGCCUGACGCAGCGACGCCGCGUGAGGGAUGACGGCC